ACCACUGUCUCUUCUUCUUUAGCUAUUAUUCACUCCCGGAGAAUUCCAUUUUGAGGUGGCCGAGUUGGUGCAAAGAGGCAGACAAAGAUUCUAUUCGGAAAGGGCGUGGGCUCGCAUCCCACUGUCAACAAUCUUCAGCACCAGCCAGUCUGCUCAACCUCCAAAACCUUGAUUUAAAGAAGAAAGGGGCAUCUGCCAUGGUAAGCAGAUAUUCCGAUGGCUGUAUGGAAGAAGGCUAGAAAAAAAGGCACCUUCUUAAAGGAAAGUCAGUCAAGACCCACCUCUGGAGUACGGACAGCUGCUUUCAGAACCGCUUAAGCAAUAGAUUUACCACCAAAGUGACAACUGAAUGGGGCGACUCGAAACCUGUCUCCAACCCUCAUUAAACAUUAUCCGUCUUUCCAUCACUAGCAGGUCCUGGCGAACCUGCUUUUGAAAUAGCUCGACCGAUAGGGAAAGGGUUACAUCCGCGAGAAAAGCUCCUUCUCAUGUUGCAUUUCUUUGGUUUGGAAGUUUCAGUAUGUUGUCUGUGGAUUUCUAACAAAAGGAAAGUCCCCCUAUGCCAUUUGAUUAAUUAAAGUUCCGUGCUGCUCGCCACUCCCCGAGGCCAAGGACGGGGUCGAACCGUCAUUCCAGGAUUUGCAGUCCGAUACAUUUCCAUUAUGUUACCUAGCCGCCACCGCAUAUGUAUAAAAAGAGGGAGCGGGGAAGGAAGAACAACCGUUUCACUUUGGGACAUGAGGUGGUCAAUAAAAAGAAAAAAGUCGCAAUUCAGUUUCAAAUGGUUUGAGCUUGGAAGCAACCUGCUAUCUAUCGAUAGGCGAGAACAGACUGCUAUUGGCUGCUUCGCCUAUCUAUUCUCUCCUGGUCUCCGGCUUGACUACUCUGCUUGCCACACGAGAUCCCCCGAAAGAUUAAAAGAAAUGAGCAUUAGCUCUUUCUAAAUAAAAUAAGGAGUCCGUCGACCAAAAGCAGUGUGUGUUCCAGGGCUUUCUAUCUACUCCUAUCCAAAGUAGAUUGCUUUUAUUUGGUGUGCUUGCAUGUAUGGUAUGGGAAAACCCCUAGUGUAAAAUGUUUACUACUUUUAGCUAUGCUAAUAUAAUAAUUAAUUAAUGCUUCCCCGACUUCUUUCUAGAAUUAGAGUUCGACCGCAGCUGCCCCAUUUUAGAUUUGGGGGGAUCCAGUUCCUUGCCAACUAUCGACCCCCAUCUCUUUUCACACUCAAUUCCUCCUUUGACUACUUUCAUUAGGAACGGAACGUGGGCUUGAAGAAGAAGAUUGUCUAGUCAUCAUACAGUCGGGGGGAGACUAUCAGUGACCGAGCUUCUAAUUGGUAUUGGAUUUGAACUCCCGAGAUUUCCUUUUAGUCGUGGCAAUUAUUUUUCAUACACAGGCCGCCACAAACACAAAACACAACGUCGAGGUUUCUUGGACUUUGCUUCGCCACCACCAAAAUGUCCUCAUCACUCAUCUUCACUGACUCUUCCACAGCUUCUCGUCCUUUUCCUCUUGCCCCAUUCACUUCUUUUAAUUCCCCUCUUUUCCUUCGCCAUGUGAGGCAUCUUGUCGAACGUGUUUUAUGCAAUUCUAAUGUGUUUGCUUCGUUUGCUGCUCGGAUAAACCGGGUGGUGAAGCGUCCGCGAGGGUAAUUGAUGGGAGAAUGGUGGCAAAGCAAAUAAGAGAUGGGAUAACUGCUCAAGUGUUGAAGAUGAAGGAAGCAAUUAGUGUUGUUCCUGGUUUAGCAGGGAUUCUUGUUGGUGACUGGAAGGAUUCUUCUACUUAUGUUCGCAACAAGAAUAAAGCUUGUGCAUUUGUGGGAAUAAACUCUUUUGAAGUACGUCUGCCAGAAGAUUCUACCGAACAAGAAUUGAUUAAGUUUAUUUAGGAAUUUAAUAACGAUCCUUCAGUUCAUGGCAUUCUUGUCUCUGCCUUCGGUAUGGUUUUGAAUUUGAACAAUUUUUGACAACGUUGAAAGAGUUACAUGGUAUUGUUGUGCUGAAUUGUGAUGGUUUGAUUAGAAGUGGCCGUGUUUGUAUCGGCAUAUGAAUGAGCAGAAUGUGCUAAAUGCUGUUAACACUGAGAAGGAUGUGGAUGGUUUCCUUCCACAUUGGUCGCCUUGCAAUGCGAGGAAGAGACCCAUUAUUUGUUCCGUGUACGCCUAAAGGGCGCGUAGAAUUUUUGCAUAGAUAUGGUGUUGAAAUCGAAGGAAAGAGAGCAUUUGUGAUUGGUCGGAGCAAUAUUGUUGGGACGCCAGCUGCUUUGUUGCUUCAGGCAAUUCAUUUUCCCAGCAAGGGCUUCUGUAGAUUCUAAUAAGAGUUUGUCACUUCUCUUGUCAUCAUAUAUGUCAGUGGGUGUAUCUGUCCUUUUCUAAACUCGUCGUCUUGACGUUCUCCAGAUUGGUAGAGGGAAGAUGCUACUGUGAGCACUGUCUAUUCUAGAACCAAGAACCCUGGAGAGAUCAUAAUCAUAAAACAAGCAGAUAUAAUAAUCUCUGCUGUAGGGCAACCAAAUAUGGCGAGGGGGAGCUGGUUAAAACCUGGUGCGGCUGUAAUUGAUGUUGGAAUUAAUGCAGUUGAGGAUGCAAAAAGCCCUCGAGGUUACUAAUUGGUUGGAGAUGUCUACUAUGAGGAGGCCUGCAAGGCUGCUUCAGCUGUUGGUCCUAUGACUACAGCAAUGCUUCUCUCUAAUACUCUCAGGCUCUCAUCUCAGCAAAGAGGACACAACUUCCAGUGAUUAUUACGAGAUUUUAAAGAUCAAUGCUAAUAUGAUACGGCUGGCUUCCCAGGGACCGGCCUGGUGGUAGCUUGAGCUCCCAUUUUCUCUCAGGGAGGAGCUGGUUUCAGUCCCAGGCGCUGCCUUUCUACUAGUUUAUUUUUAUGACAAGGUGAGAUUUUAUGACAGGUGGAAGACGUUAUAUCUUGCUAGGGAAAGUGCACGAUAGAUUUUAUACGCCAAAAUCUAGGGUUCCAUUUUGAACAGCGUUUGUUAUUUUCUUUCACCUAGAUUAAUGGGUUUCACUGAUUAUCAUUCUAUAACUGUUCGGUUCCAAUUUCAGAUGCCUUGAACGAGUCCUAAACAACCUUCCUUCCUGUUGUGCAAGACUUCAAUUAUGGAUUGGAUUCAUAUAUCAUCUGUCAAAUUUUAACUCCUAGUUCAUUUGCAGAGUAGAUUGCAUAUAACUUUGUGAUACAGAACCAUGAACAGCGUAUGGAUACUGUUCUUUUUGCCAAACACGGAUGGAUAGUCAAGGACAGUAUAAUCUGGAAGGCAAGUGCAGAAAAAAAGGGCAGUGAUUAAAAAAAAAAAAGGUUAAAUCUUUGAUGAUUACUGUUCACGUUUAUAUCAUUUCAACAUCAAUUAAUCACCUCUUCAAUCUGCUUGGACUUCCAUCUAUCUAUUGAAAAAGAUACAUGCAAGUUGAGCACACACUUCAUCAAUACCAAAAACAGCCACUGAUUGUAUUUUCUUUUACUUCCUAAAGAAUCUGAAAGUCUAGAAUCAGAGUGAUAAAAAUUCCAGUCACAAUAAAUUUUUGGCCGAAAGAUCAA